rnacentral:lncRNA from 1 species
ACUGGUCUCUUGAAUGGCAUUCGUCUGUAUCAUUUAGAUUGAUCUCGCUUUAGUCUCGUAUAUAUCAAUCACGCCUCUUGAGCAGAGUAUAGACAACUAUACUGUCUAUCCUAAGAAUAAUAAACCUCUGACUGGACGUGAUUUAUUGUUGAUGAACAGAAGAGAGCUUGAUCAUUAGGAUUGAUUUUCUUUUUCUCUCUUCUUUAGGGUUAUCCCGCAUCAAUUUGGUUUCAGAGUCGGUUGAUUAGGUGAGGAUGAAGUCCAUCGAAGAACCUCGCUCCAGAGCAUUGGAGAUGCGAGCACCUGAGACAAUGUCUCC